GUAUAAUAAAAAGAAAGAAUAAUGUAAUAAAUUACAGAGACACUGGAUGACGUUUUUCCCAUGAAGAUAUACAGACACGUCCAGUUACAGGGAGGGAAAAGCAUAACGUACUCUUCAGCUUCCUGGAACUCAAAAUGACCCAUGAAAUAUCAAUAAUAUAUGCUACAGAUAAAAAUAUUGUAAAGCAACAGUUGACCGUAUGGACACUAAGGUAAAACAUGGAACUUUAAAAAAGGAAGAGACAUCGUGGAGAAUUGCUAGUCAGAGCAGAAGAUGUGAGGAGACCUUGGUUGUUGUCUUCCCUCAUGACAACAGAAAUGUAAAGGUACCUUAAUGGUUUCAUAAGAGUCAGUGAUGAGGGCGAUGAAGAGGCUGAGCACCAUGUAGAUGAAGAGGGAGAUGAAGGAGU